AUGCUUGCUUCGACAGCACAUACACCAGGUUUGGAACGAUCCAGAGAAGAUUAUCAUGGCCCCUGUGCAAGGAUGACCUGUAGCUUUGUGAAGAUUCCAUACUUUUA
ensembl:snRNA U6 U6 spliceosomal RNA